AGCCCGGCGCUCCCCAGCCGUACAGGUGGGGAGGAAGGGAGGGUACCUGCCCUGCGAGGAGCGGAGAGGAGGACCCGGGCUCCGCGGAAGUGCCGGGAGAAACUGGCGGAACAGGGCCUGCAGCUUGCCCUCCCUGCAGUCUGACUUUCCCCGUCCAGGGUGCUUCCCCUCCCCCAACCUGACCUCUAAGGUUGCUAUUCUGCUAAAAGCACACCUGUGACACUGUGAUCUUUCUAAUUGGUGGCAGGUUUAAGGUUGCCCUGUCUUCAGACGUAUAUGUCUUUCUUUCUUUCUUUGUUUUAAGCCUGUAACAGCUGUGACCGGACAAUAUUAUGUCUGAUGACAAUCUGUAAACUAGGAAUCGAAUGAUAGGUUUUAUACACCUCUUGAAAGUUUUACGGGAAGAAAGGAAUCCCUUAGACAACCGUGUACUUGUUUAUACAUUUUAGUUCCCACGUGCAUGCUCUUUACGUGAUUCUUUACACCUGACAAACAGGUAUAUUUGCAUACCUUUAUGUUAUUAUACGUGCCAAUUGUUGUAAGGUGCAAGCCAUUUUUGACGGGUCUAAAAGCUUGCGUUCAGAAAAAAUAACGUGAAAUUAAUUAAGAAAUUAACUUUACGGUUUAAAAAUUAAAAUAUUUCAAUAAACUGUAGUAGAGAGGUUAAGUGAAAGAGCGUCCUAAAAGAGGCUCUACUGUGGUAUUAGCAUCAUGUAACACAUCUGUGUUAGCCCCUUCAACCAGUUGAUAGAAUAAUAUUUGGUAGGUGGUAAAAAUUAAAUUGUUACUUAGGACCAAUGCUUGACUAAAUGCUCUUUAAGGUAUAUAUCCAUUGUAACAACCAAAAAGAUUGCUGAAACGAAGUAACAUACUAAAUACUUAGUAAUAUGCCGUUUGUCUCUUAUGGACAGACAUCAGUAUUUAUUCCUUCCUGUGCAUAAUAUAUGCCUUUCAGUGUAUCUCUACAUAUGAAAAGAAAAAACAAGUAGCUUAUUUGGAUUACAAUAUCAGAACCAUAUAUGAAAAAGUUGCUUUUUAAUAUUUUACUUAAUAUUAAUCAAAUCAGUUCAUUUAAAUCCAUCUGGAUUUUAGUCUAAACACAGUUUAAACAAUUUCAUGAAUCAGUUAUGCCUCUGAAUGACUAGCUUUUACAGUUGCUCACACAGACAAUAAUGUAAACAUUGAGUAAUAGUGAAACUACUUAAAGUCUGUAGCUUUCAAUCACCAGAUGAAGAUUAAACUUUAGUUUCAGCCUUAAUUUAUGGCAUGCUAGUAAUUUUAUUAACUCCAUUAGUCUAAUCUGACCAUAAAACCCUAGCAUAACAUUUCAUAACUGCUGAAGGCUUUUGGAGUGUUUACCCAUUUUUUUCUGUCCUCUUUCUGGUUUUAGAUGUAGGGGAGGAUUAUACUCUCCACCCCACUGAAAUUAGGUAUCAUGAUGUAAAUUUGCUUUAGUAAGUAAAUGUGAGCAGACAUGAAAUGUUUCAUUUCCUGGUAGAAUCACUUAAGGGCCAGUGCUGGAUUUUCUAUGCUCUCUUCCCUUGCUGCUGCAAUCAUGGAAGUUUAUAUUAAGAUGGAGGUGGCACAGGACUGAAGGAUCCUGGCAUGCUGUACAAUCCUGAGCACAGCUGUCCUGGAGAGCCCAGAACCUACAACAGAAUCUGCAUAAAGCAAGAAAUAAACUUGUGUUGGGGUCAGCUUUGAAGGUACUGGCUACCUAAACCUGCCUUGUCCCAAAGGACCCAUUUUAGUCUGGGGAGACUUUGAGAUUGUGGAUGUUUCCAGUUUCAUCCAAGGAACAUGAAGGUCUGGGACCAAAACACAAAAAUUCAAGGAUGAUCAGAAAUUCAGAUGCAUUCUGGAGUGAGCUACGCUUGACCAAACAAAGAACAAAGUUGCUAUAAAAUCUAGUUAUUAAUAAUCCAUGUUCUCCUGUCGGAUCACAGAACCACUCAAGACACUCUGAAAACUGUACAAAACGGGAGUAAGUUGAAAUAGAUCCCUCCGUGUUCUUAUCAAAAGCCAUCCUGUGAAAGAUUUUCAGCUAAAUUAAUUAUACUAUGUAUUUUCCUCCA